rnacentral:rRNA from 1 species
CCUACGGGAGGCAGCAGUCGAGAAUCAUUCACAAUGGGGGAAACCCUGAUGGUGCGACGCCGCGUGGGGGAAUGAAGGUCUUCGGAUUGUAAACCCCUGUCAUGUGGGAGCAAAUUAAAAAGAUAGUACCACAAGAGGAAGAGACGGGCAACUCUGUGCCAGCAGCCGGGGUAAUGCAGAGGUCUCAAGCGUUGUUCGGAAUCACUGGGCGUAAAGGGUGCGUAGGCUGUUUCGUAAGUCGUGUGUGAAAGGCGCAGGCCCAACCCGCGGAAGGCCCAUGAUACUGGGAGACUAGAGUAAUGGAGGGGGAACCGGAAUUCUCGGUGUAGCAGUGAAAUGCGUAGAUAUCGAGAGGAACACUCGUGGCGAAGGCGGGUUCCUGGACAUUAACUGACGCUGAGGCACGAAGGCCAGGGGAGCGAAAGGGAUUAGAUACCCGAGUAGUC